CUUUUUUUUUUUAAAUAGCAACUUGUGUAUAAAAAAUAUGCCAUUAAUAUAUACGGUUUUAGUUUUGGUAGUAGAACAUCAUUUGUGUGGUGGCGCGUGGCAUUUUAAUACUUAGUGCUCCACUACCCCCUUCCCUAAUCCAAUAUCAAAAGUGAAAUAUCUCGUCGACGCCCGACGGAUUGGCAGAAAUUAAAAAUGUCAACACCAAAAAGGUUUUACAUUAGUCAUGUUUUAAGGAGGGGGGAGGAAACAAAUAAGCAUUCAGUGGAAAAUGUUACUGUAAUAAGAAAUUUAGAAGAUUCUGUUGAAUACGUUCUAUAAAUUUCAUGUAUCCGAAUAACAAAAAAAUAAUAUAAGUUCG